rnacentral:rRNA from 1 species
GACGGAGGGAGCAAGCGUUAUCCGGAAUGAUUGGGCGUAAAGCGUUCGCAGGUGGCUGUUCAAGUCUACUGUGAAAUCCCGGAGCUUAACUCCAGAAAGGCAGUGGAAACUGAAGGGCUGGAGUGCUGAUGGGGUAGAGGGAAUUCACAGUGUAGCGGUGAAAUGCGUAGAUAUUGGGAAGAACACCGGUGGCGAACGCUCUUCGCUGGACUGCAACUGACACUGAGGGACGAAAGCAAGGGGAGCGAAAAGG